AAAUGUCCGAUUAACUAGUCUUGGGCUUAAUCGGACAUCUGCAAGUGCGCACCGUACUAGUACAAUUGGGAAAACGUACUAGUACACACUUUUAGUACGCUUAGUACUUCAGAUUUGU